CAAGUCGAACGAGAAAGCGGGGCAACUCGCGAGUACAGUGGCGUACGGGUGAGUAACACGUGGGUAAUCUACCCUUUAGUGGGGAAUAACGCUGGGAAACCGGCGCUAAUACCGCAUAAUCCCGGAAGGGGAAAGCAGCAAUGCGCUGAAGGAGGAGCCCGCGGCCGAUUAGCUAGUUGGGAGGGUAAGAGCCUACCAAGGCAAAGAUCGGUAGCCGGCCUGAGAGGGCACACGGCCACACUGGCACUGAAACACGGGCCAGACUCCUACGGGAGGCAGCAGUGGGGAAUCUUGCACAAUGGGGGGAACCCUGAUGCAGCGACGCCGCGUGAACGAUGAAGCCCUUCGGGGUGUAAAGUUCUUUCGGCAGGGACGAUAAUGACGGUACCUGCAGAAGCAGCUGCGGCUAACUACGUGCCAGCAGCCGCGGUAAUACGUAGGCAGCGAGCGUUGUUCGGAGUUACUGGGCGUAAAGGGUGUGUAGGCGGUUCUCUAAGUUUGGUGUGAAAUCUCCCGGCUCAACCGGGAGGGUGCGCCGAAAACUGGGGGACUAGAGUGCGGGAUGGGAGAGUAGAAUUCCUGGUGUAGCGGUGAAAUGCGUAGAUAUCAGGAGGAAUACCGGUGGUGUAGACGGCUCUCUGGACCGCAACUGACGCUGAGACACGAAAGCGUGGGUAGCAAACAGGAUUAGAUACCCUGGUAGUCCACGCCCUAAACGAUGCAUAUUUGGUGUAGGUCAUUCAGUUGAUCUGUGCCGGAGCUAACGCGUUAAAUAUGCCGCCUGGGGAGUACAGCCGCAAGGCUGAAACUCAAAGGAAUUGACGGGGGCCCGCACAAGCGGUGGA
rnacentral:rRNA from 1 species